rnacentral:rRNA from 1 species
GACGAACGCUGGCGGCGUGCCUAAUACAUGCAAGUCGAGCGGACAGAAGGGAGCUUGCUUCCGGAAGUCAGCGGCGGACGGGUGAGUAACACGUGGGCAACCUGCCCUGCAGAUUGGGAUAGCUCCGGGAAACCGGGGCUAAUACCGAAUAAAAUUGGAAACCUCAUGGCUUCCUUUUAAAAGGCGGCUUCGGCUGUCACUGCAGGAUGGGCGCGCGGCGCAUUAGCGAGUUGGUGAGGGAACGGCUCACCAAGGCGACGAUGCGUAGCCGACCUGAGAGGGUGAUCGGCCACACUGGGACUGAGACACGGCCCAGACUCCUACGGGAGGCAGCAGUAGGGAAUCUUCCGCAAUGGACGAAAGUCUGACGGAGCAACGCCGCGUGAGUGAAGAAGGUUUUCGGAUCGUAAAACUCUGUUGUCAGGGAAGAACAAGUACGGUAGUAACUGCCCGUACCUUGACGGUACCUGGCCAGAAAGCCACGGCUAACUACGUGCCAGCAGCCGCCGUAACAC